AGGAGAUGCUGUUCGCGCGCGCGACAGUGCACGGAAACAACAGAUUACUUAUUUCAUAGCAAAAUGGGCCUUAUAGUAAAGUUGAAAAAGAUACAUUUCAGGAGGAGUACACAAAGAUAUAAAAGUACAGCAGUCACCACCUUGCUGCAAACUGAUAGAAUAUUGGGAAGAAAAGGCUGAAAAGUGGGACAAGCAGAGGGAGAGAGGGAGAGAAAAGCCANAUCUAGAUUUCAAGCAGGUGGGACCUUCAACAUUUUAUUUCUGAGCCAAGCUGGAAUGCUCAACACAAGUUUACCAGUGGAAGAAAAAAGGACUUCUCCCUUGUGUUCAUUCUGUCUUCAUGAGCACAUGUUUGAGGCAUGGACAUUUUCAUCCUAAUGAAAUACUGGAAAAAUUGCCUUCAGAAACUGUGAAAUAAUACCAGAGAUUUGUGUUUGUAUUAUGAAGUAAAGAAACUAUUNAGUUUAAUUGCAUCAUUCGUAUGAUGUUUCCAUUCUCCUUUGCCGCCAUAGGUGGGAGUUUCAGUGUCUGCUCAUUCUGUGGAAAGGUGUUACACUUUCUGGACUGACUCCCAGGCCUGUACCAUCCACUUCUUUAUGGUAGGGCUGUACUCUAAGUGGCUUUUCACACUGAUCAGCU
ensembl:lncRNA